CUUAUUUUAUAAAUUCUGAACGAUUGCUUAGCCUGACAUCAACACAAUCGCCUAGACCACGUGAAACUAUGCCCAUUUCUACAUUAUCGUCGCACUCGAACAACUAUGCAUAAAUGAAGGGCAACGAAAACAAAACGAUGUUCGUUCCCCCUGAGGGGCAACAAAUGUGAUAGAACUGGCAGAUUGUGAUCUCGAAAAUGGGGAACCGAUCCACCAAAACAAAGAGAAGAGAAGAGCUUGAUGAGUAGUCUGACGACUUAAACAGGCGACGACACGGCAGCACAUUUUUUGUUCCGAAGUGCAGGAAAGUCCAUGCUUUUAGUAGUGUCCAGCAGUUGGCUGAAAAUAACAAAGGAAAAAUCCAAACUGGGAAAGUCUGGAAAGGGGGACAAUGUUUCGAUAUAUUUUGAUUCGGUGGUAAUUCUUACUUAUUAUGAAACUACAGCAAAUAGCACGACAGAUUGAUACAUGAAUACA
rnacentral:sRNA from 1 species